rnacentral:rRNA from 1 species
UACGUAGGUGGCAAGCGUUGUCCGGAUUUACUGGGCGUAAAGGGCGUGCAGGCGGUCUGUUAAGUCUAGGGUGAAAGCUCCCGGCUCAACUGGGAGAGGUCCUUGGAUACUGGCGGACUUGAGGGAGGCAGAGGAAAGUGGAAUUCCCGGUGUAGUGGUGAUAUGCGUAGAUAUCGGGAGGAACACCGAUUGCGAAGGCAGCUCGCUGGGACGUAACUGACGCUGAGGCGCGACAGCGUGGGAGCAAACAGG